CAGUAGCCGCGGGAAUACGGAGGGAGCUAGCGUUGUUCGGAAUUACUGGGCGUAAAGCGCGCGUAGGCGGUUACUCAAGUCAGAGGUGAAAGCCCGGGGCUCAACCCCGGAACUGCCUUUGAAACUAGGUGACUAGAAUCUUGGAGAGGUCAGUGGAAUUCCGAGUGUAGAGGUGAAAUUCGUAGAUAUUCGGAAGAACACCAGUGGCGAAGGCGACUGACUGGACAAGUAUUGACGCUGAGGUGCGAAAGCGUGGGGAGCAAACAGGAUUAGAUACCCCAGUAGUCCCUGUCUCUUAUAU
rnacentral:rRNA from 1 species